AUGGAGCUGGUGGUGGGCGCUUCGCAGGCUACCAUGGGGUCUGUCCUGUCCAAGCUUGGGGGGCUUCUCUCCGACGAGUACACCCUGAUUCGGGGCGUCGGCGGUGACCUCCAGUACAUCAACGACGAGCUCGCCACCAUGCAGUCUUUCCUCCGCGCCUACAAGGGAAGCCACGAAGACCUGAUGAAAGACUGGAUGAAGCAGAUCCGCGACAUCACCUAUGACAUCGAAGACUGUAUCGAUGACUCCGGCAAACGCAUCCGCGGCCUGCCCACCAGCAUGCGCUGCUACCGUCUCGUCAGUGGUGUCUAUGAGAUCCUGACUUGGCGGCCUCGCCGUGACAUUGCCUCAAAGCUCUCUGUCCUCAAGAUGCGAGCGCAGCAGAUCAGCGAGCGGCGCCAAAGGUAUGGAGUCGUCAACCCGGACCCGGACAAGGCUAGCACUGGCGUCGCUAGAUUUGAUGUUGCCGACAACCAAGCCCCUGGCCUGCUUCAGCUUGUCACCACGAGGGAACCCGUGGGAGUGGACAAGCUAAUGGAGAAUCCCCGCCGGCGGGUGACUUGCAUUGUCGGGUUCGGAGGCGUGGGGAAGACCGCCAUCGCCACCGCUUUAUACAGGAAUUCCGUGAAGGAGUUCGGCCAUCGUGCGAUGGUCACAGUGUCUCAGAGCACCGACCUGGAGGCCAUCCUCAGGAUCAUCAGGGAUCAAUUCAAGCCUCACACCAGCAAUCAUGAGAAGCACAACAGCUUGGAGAACAAGAGCAACCUCAUCACAGCAGCCGUAAAAGGUUUUCAGGGUCAUGCGAGCCGAGGCUUGUCAACCAUCAUGGCAGCCAUAAGCUGCAGAUCCGGCAACUCCGAGGAAACACCAGAGGUAGAUCUACUCAAGGAAGAGAUCGAGAAUAUCUUGAAAAAAAAUAGGUACCUGGUCUUAAUUGAUGACGUAUGGUCUGCAUCAUUGCUGGAUAGAAUCAUAAAUGCACUUCCAAAAAAUGAACAUAGUGUAAUAAUAGUUACUACACGGUUUCAUGAUGUUGCGGCAACACAUAGAGACCCCGACAUGCGCUUCAUUCAUGGUCUAGCUGAAGAAGAAUCCAAGAAGUUAUUUGAGCAGGCCUACAAUGAGUCCAAAGGAAGCAAAGCUCGUACAAUAACAUCUAAAAGAAAACAAGUCGUGCAGAGUCGUCUAAGCAAGCGGCCUCUGGAACUGAAGCUAAUAAAGCAGGUCAGAAUCAUGCAGAGUCAUCUAAGCAAGCGGCCUCCGAAACUGAAAGUAGGCAGGAUGGUCACAAUCAUGCAGAGUCGUCUAAGCAAGCCACCCCGGGAAGUGAGGGUAGCCAAGAUGAUCAGUUUCCGGAGCAAGUUUGGAAGAUUUGUGGGGGGUUGCCAUUGGCCAUAA
rnacentral:rRNA from 1 species